GGAAGGUCAAGCCGAUGGCUGGCGACGGCACUGGUCUUGAAAACCAGCGAGCGUAGUGAUACGCCUUGAGGGAUCGUUCCCCUCACCUUCCGCCA
rnacentral:tRNA from 4 species